UAGCAUAAUCAUUAGUUUUUUAAUUGAAAACUGGAAUGAAAGGUUAAAUAAAAAAUAAUCUUUAUUAGUUUUAAAAUAUUUGAAUUUGUUUUUUUAGUAAAAAAACUAAAAUUAUAUAAAAAGACGAUAAGACCCUAUAAAGCUUUAUAAUAAAAAAUUUAAUAAUUUAUUAGAAUAUUUAAAUUAAUUCUUUUUUUUUAUUUAAUUGGGGUGAUUUAAAGAUUUAGUAAACUCUUUAUUAAAAGUAUCAUUUUUAAAUGUUUUUUGAUCCUUAAAAUUUUAAGAGUAAAAAAAUAAGUUACUUUAGGGAUAACAGCGUAAUUUUUUUGAAGAGUUCAAAUCGAUAAAAAAGAUUGCGACCUCGAUGUUGAAUUAAGAUAAAUUUUAGGUGUAGAAGUUUAA
rnacentral:rRNA from 1 species